CAGACUCACCAUGCGGGAGUGUGUCUGCUGGUGAGUGUUCUGCUUAGAUCUGGACUAGUAACACCUAAGAUCAUACAAAGCCUCCUCCCCUGGGUGAAUUCCCCAACAGAAAACCGCUGAGUCACCGGCACAGCUUUCCUUGUCCAGCUAAUGAGUGAUCCCAUGCUCAGG